rnacentral:rRNA from 1 species
UACGUAGGGUGCAAGCGUUAAUCGGAAUUACUGGGCGUAAAGCGUGCGCAGGCGGUUUUGCAAGACCGAUGGGAAAUCCCCGGGCUUAACCUGGGAAUGGCAUUGGUGACUGCACGGCUAGAGUGUGUCAGAGGGGGGUAGAAUUCCACGUGUAGCAGUGAAAUGCGUAGAGAUGUGGAGGAAUACCGAUGGCGAAGGCAGCCCCCUGGGAUAACACUGACGCUCAUGCACGAAAGCGUGGGGAGCAAACAGG